rnacentral:rRNA from 1 species
UACAGAGACUGCAAGCGUUAUUCGGAUUCACUGGGCGUAAAGGGUGCGCAGGCGGCCAAGUGUGUGAGGCGUGAAAGCCCGGGGCUUAACCCCGGAAUUGCACCUCAAACUACAUGGCUAGAGCAUUGGAGAGGGUAGCAGAAUUCAUGGUGUAGCAGUGAAAUGCGUAGAUAUCAUGAGGAAUACCAGAGGCGAAGGCGGCUACCUGGACAAUUGCUGACGCUCAGGCACGAAAGUGUGGGGAUCAAACAGG